UGCAAGUCGAGCGGGGGAGGUUGCUUCGGUAACUGACCUAGCGGCGGACGGGUGAGUAAUGCUUAGGAAUCUGCCUAUUAGUGGGGGACAACGUUCCGAAAGGAAUGCUAAUACCGCAUACGCCCUACGGGGGAAAGCAGGGGAUCUUCGGACCUUGCGCUAAUAGAUGAGCCUAAGUCGGAUUAGCUAGUUGGUGGGGUAAAGGCCUACCAAGGCGACGAUCUGUAGCGGGUCUGAGAGGAUGAUCCGCCACACUGGGACUGAGACACGGCCCAGACUCCUACGGGAGGCAGCAGUGGGGAAUAUUGGACAAUGGGCGGAAGCCUGAUCCAGCCAUGCCGCGUGUGUGAAGAAGGCCUUUUGGUUGUAAAGCACUUUAAGCGAGGAGGAGGCUCCUUUAGUUAAUACCUAAAGUGAGUGGACGUUACUCGCAGAAUAAGCACCGGCUAACUCUGUGCCAGCAGCCGCGGUAAUACAGAGGGUGCGAGCGUUAAUCGGAUUUACUGGGCGUAAAGCGUGCGUAGGCGGCUUUUUAAGUCGGAUGUGAAAUCCCUGAGCUUAACUUAGGAAUUGCAUUCGAUACUGGGAAGCUAGAGUAUGGGAGAGGAUGGUAGAAUUCCAGGUGUAGCGGUGAAAUGCGUAGAGAUCUGGAGGAAUACCGAUGGCGAAGGCAGCCAUCUGGCCUAAUACUGACGCUGAGGUACGAAAGCAUG
rnacentral:rRNA from 2 species